AUCACAUGCAAACAGGCUUCGCUCGUUCUAUUGCGGGCCACCGAGUCAGAGCGGAUGCGCCGACAAUGAUCGGCCCCAAGGCCGACUCGUCGCGGAGGCGACGGAAAAACAACGCGCUUGUCCGGCCGGCCGUGACCUCGCAUGCCGAGGAACAAAUUCGGUGGAUGAUGAAGGCAUUGGAGGGCUGAAGUGGGACCACAAUGACGAGACAACAGAUUUUGCAGACGUCAAGGCACCGCCUGCGUGAGCCAAUAGGCAACAUUAAAACAACCAAGCAAAUUAAAAUUGAACUGGCAUCACUGA